rnacentral:rRNA from 1 species
UGGGGAAUAUUGGACAAUGGACCAAAAGUCUGAUCCAGCAAUUCUGUGUGCACGAUGACGUUUUUCGGAAUGUAAAGUGCUUUCAGUUGGGAAGAAAAAAAUGACGGUACCAACAGAAGAAGUGACGGCUAAAUACGUGCCAGCAGCCGCGGUAAUACGUAUGUCACAAGCGUUAUCCGGAUUUAUUGGGCGUAAAGCGCGUCUAGGUGGUCAUGUAAGUCUGAUGUGAAAAUGCAGGGCUCAACUCUGUAUUGCGUUGGAAACUGCAUGACUAGAGUACUGGAGAGGUAAGCGGAACUACAAGUGUAGAGGUGAAAUUCGUAGAUAUUUGUAGGAAUGCCGAUGGGGAAGCCAGCUUACUGGACAGAUACUGACGCUAAAGCGCGAAAGCGUGGGUAGCAAACAGGAUUAGAUACCCUGGUAGUCCACGCCGUAAACGAUGAUUACUAGGUGUUGGGGGUCGAACCUCAGCGCCCAAGCUAACGCGAUAAGUAAUCCGCCUGGGGAGUACGUACGCAAGUAUG